CUUCCACAGGGACCGUCGAUGCGAGACUGUAAACAAAGUGAUAUUCGCCUGCCUACAAUAAGAGUACAUCGAAUCCUCGACAUCAACACUGACUGCACUCGUGCACUCGUCCAGAAUUGCAAACUGUGGUUUGUGAUAGAAGAGUCGAGCCAUCUGCAGAAUGAACGACACCCGGUCAAUCACCAAUCACAGGAUAGCUUUAUAUAGACGAAGAGGAGACUAGGUAUUACCGCUAUACGUUGUUUUUCACCACCAGAAAGGACAUCCAUCCAAUCGGCGACAACGUCCCACCCUUGACCCUCAAUGUUUGUCAAAUUUUCUCUUUCCAACAGAUGGCCUAGUUGAACCAGAUCUAAUAGUUUAACAAGGUCGUCGUCUGUCAUCUUGCCGCGCCUUAUCAUCUCCUCCUUUGUAUGAGGAUAGAUAAUUUGAUCUCUGAGCGUACCCAGGGUCAUGUAAGGACGUUGCGGUAUGUAGAAUAAUUUUCCACGCGGUGGUUUGGUCACCGUUCCGCCCCAAACUGGCCACAACUGCCCAGGUAAACGGUUUCAAAUGGUCAGACAUUACCGUCGGAGAAUUUGGACACGGUUAGAUGGCGUGAUGAUAAAUGUCGAUAACGUACCUCUCCAAGAAUUCUGAAGAGAGAGCUCUUUCCGCAACCAUUAGGUCCGCAUACUAGCACGUUCAUUCCCGAGCUUACCUCGAACGUUAACUCUUUGAUAAGAACAUCGCCGUUCGGCGUUAUCAAUGGCACGCGAUCGAAACGUAUAAUGUUAUCUUUGGUCAGAAUCUUCCCCGCGCCCGGACUUCCAAUCGAUUCCUCCUUGAAGUCUGUGAUCAUUGUCCUAGAGUAUUUGCCCGCGUUCAAAUCGUCCAAGACGACCUUGAUUUCUGUAACCCUAGCUGUGAACCCUGCUAGCCGUGUCAGCUCUCUUCCGGCCAGUACUAAUCUGCCUAUAGCUUCCGCUAGUUUCACUAACAUCCGCCCAUACGUGUAGUAACUCUUGAAUCGAUGAUCAGGCGAUCCUGACAGGACACGAUGGUUCUUCUGAAAGAACGGAAUGCUGACCGCAUAAAAGCCUACGAUCGUUGCCAUGUCUGAAAGAAAAAUAUUUUCAAUAUUUUUCAGGUAUUAUGCCUGUAAGUGAAAAUGUAUCUAAGUAAGUCGUUCUUUACAUUUGCCGACAAAAUUAUCAAUCACUCCUAUGAGCGUUUUGAAUUCCAAACAUUUUCGGAGAUGAGUCACCUGUAAAACGAAAGGUAAAUAUAACACGAGCGUGGUAGUCCGCGAGAAUUCUACUGUUUACUUACUAGUUUAUAGAAGCUAGCUAGUAUCGUUAGUUUCUCUCUAUUGUUUCCUUGGUAAAACGCAAUCUCUUCAGAAUUCGUAAUUAGUCGGGAAUUAAUGUGACGGUACUCGCCCUCCAGACGUUGUUCUUUCACUGUCAUCGAGCCGAUCGGUUUACGAAGAUGCGUAAUCAUAGUACCAGCAAAGAGAAGGUAGAACAGCAUUAAUAUUGGUGUCUAUAAUGGAACAGAUAUUUUAGAAAGCGUGAACAGGCGUGCUCAAGAAUCGCUGAAUUAACAUACCUGACCACCAAGAUUGCUCGUCAAUCUAUAGACAUAAAUAAAUAUGUCCAAUAACGGUUUUGCGACGUUACUAUAAAGAUCCGUGCAGCUUUCACAGAAUUUGUCGACGUCGGUAGAUAAAAGCUGAUCUGGGUUUGCUAUUCGACUGUCCAAGUUACUCAUUUUGUAGUAUGUAAAACCCCUGUAAUAACCAGUAAUAUAUUCGAAUUUGAAACGUUUGGGAAAUCAAAUGCAUUAUUCAUAAUUGUUCUUGGCUGGUUCCACUCACUUCAGGUACUGGUCCAGUAGAUUUCGUGUGAUAUUCGUGCGUAGCCUCAACUUCAUUUCAUAUAUUCCAUAUUUCAGUACGUUGUUCACAACAGAGAUCUAAAUAAAUAUAGUCAUGGAAGAUCAUAUCAAUAAUAUCUUCCAAACGAUUAGAAAAUUAGCUGCUUGGCAGCCUGAACGAAAGAAUUUCAUUAGCAGCCUACAAAAGCAAUGCUCUGCAUACUUUAUUCACAAUAUAUAUACUCACUUACCACAGGCAAUACAGACAAAAAUUUAAAUAAACGCUUCUUAAAUAGAGGUGCAUCCAUAUUAACGAUCGACCUGAAACACAAUGCUUGUAACUUAUAAAUUGAAAGACUUGGGUUUUUCUCAGCAACUAAUUGUACGCACGAUUCGAUUAACGUUCCUAUGUUUAUCAUCCAUAGGUCGCACAGGGAUCUUGCCACUAAGGAACCAGCAACAAGAAGAACAAAUCCAAACUCUGGAGACACAACGGAUGGUAUACCAAUUCUGAGCAGUUGACGUAGUUGUUUGAAAAAUUUGGCAUUGACGUAAGCUUUCGGACUCUUUGGUUUCUCCUGAGAAUUGGAUUGUAUUGGUACAACUAGUGGAUUAGUACUAAUUUAACGGUUACAGAUUCAUUUGGCACUUACCUCUUUGAUAACAUACUGUAUAUCAUGAGAGGGCCACGCGUUCCUGUAAAAACAAACAAUCGUCUUGAGUGUUUUGACGAGACUGAGCAAGUUGAGUCUUGUACACACAUGGUUGUCCCAUCUACUUACUUAUUUCUCGUGACUUGUUUUCUGCCUCUUCUUUUUAGGAUCCAUAUCAACGCGGUGAGCGCACAAGCACCAGCCACUGUACGCUUGGUCGCGAAUUUACUAAGCAUCGGCGCCAUUCCCAACUGAUCAGCCUCUAAGUACGACUACAAAAUUUACACCGUCUUCUACGACGGUCUUGAGUCUUCUGCGUCCAGUUUCAGAGCUCGUUAAGGUGAACAGGUGGUGGGGCAAUACUUGGCAGUGAAUCAGCUAAACAGCAGCGAGACCACGUAUCGCAAGCAUUUCGCUACGAGUCAGUCUCUGAUUCCCGUGCUUUCACCUACUCUAACCUGAUCAUCGAAUUGUCUUAUAUCGUCUGCACUCUACGUGCACAAACAUCAGUAUCCCGCUAAUAACCGAUCAAAGUACAAAAUCACCAAACCAGUUUUGUUUAUGUAAUCUUACGCCAAUGAACUUUGAUACGGCGAUGCCCAAAUCAAUAAAUAUGUACAUGUACGAUCACACUCAACUCAAAGGUACAUCCGUUACAAAACGAAUCACGAAUUGGAAAGCUAAAGCUGGCUACAGCUGUUAAACUUAUGUACAUAUAUGCACAUGUCCGAUUCUUCCGUUCUUAUUUUGUAACGACAAUGUAUUCUUGCAAUGAUACAAAACAUUGCGACAAAUGUCACUGUUUGAUUUAACUUACCGAUAGUUUAUCGUUUUUCUUGUAUUUCAAUGUUUGGGUUGAUAUUGUCGUGACGUAAGCUUGCGUCCUGAUGACUAUGAUAAAUUCAAGAUGAUAUAUUUGAAAGUUAAGAACGUCAGACAGAUGGAAAUCACGAAAAAGAUACAUUACACAAGUAAUAAUCUCAUUUGGUGGGAGCUAUAUUUGUUUCUUAAAAUAGUAUUUCGCACAGCAGAAGCCAGCGCCAAUGUAAUAUCAAGGAAUAAUCUAAUACACCUUUGACACACACCCAGUAUCAGUUGAAGAUUAGUAUUUCCCAGCGUUAUCAUUAGCAAGAAUGAUCUAAAAACAAAAAAUAUUAAGGAAUUAAAUUCGUUGAGAAAAAGAAACCGUCGAUGAUUACGAAAUAUAGAAACAUUCAUUGUUUAGCGGAUCACUUUGCUGUUAAGCGGAACUAGUUGCAUACAAAAAAUCCAUGCAAGUUCGCACAUUGUAUUUCAGUCAACUGACAAUGAGCUGUUGAACAGAAUCAAAAACAUAAUUAAUGUACAUCGAAGAAGACACAACGUAUUUAAUGUAAUCAAUGUAAUUCUAAUGCGGAAAGAAAACGGAUAUAACAGUA